GAUGAACGCUGGCGGCGUGCCUAAUACAUGCAAGUCGAGCGAACAGACGCGGAGCUUGCUCCUCUGACGUUAGCGGCGGACGGGUGAGUAACACGUGGAUAACCUACCUAUAAGACUGGGAUCACUUCGGGAAACCGGAGCUAAUACCGGAUAAUAUAUUGAACCGCAUGGUUCAAUAGUAAAAGACGGUUUUGCUGUCACUUAUAGAUGGAUCCGGGCUGUAUUAGCUAGUUGGUAAGGUAACGGCUUACCAAGGCGACGAUGCGUAGCCGACCUGAGAGGGGGAUCGGCCACACUGGAACUGAGACACGGUCCAGACGCCUGCGGGAGGCAGCAGUAGGGAAUCGUCCGCAAUGGGCGAAAGCCUGACGGAGCGACGCCGCGUGAGUGAUGAAGGUCUUCGGAUCGUAAAACUCUGUUAUUAGGGAAGAACAAAUGUGUAAGUAACUAUGCACGUCUUGACGGUACCGAAUCAGAAAGCCACGGCUAACUACGUG
rnacentral:rRNA from 1 species